AUCCGCCUCAUCCCCCUCCAUUAAUGUCCCUGGUAUUCACAGUGUAGUCGACUGUGUUCCUUUUUCCAAGGGCAGACCUCGGAUUUUUGUCACUAUGGUCCCCUGACGUUGAGAACAGACCCACCCACCUGUCCUUCAUGUGACACAUCAUUCACUAAUCAAUUGGAAAAUUUAGGGGGAAAACAUACAAUAUCAAAAAACCAUAUUAUAAUUUAUACCUGUGCAUUUUGUUGUGCUGUUCCGGUGUCUUGAUCAUUCUUUCAAAUGAUAUAUUGACAUUUUCCAGAAGAGUCUAUGUUCCCUGAAGUAUUAAUAAUUUCUUUGUAAAUUUUUACGAGUGUUUUUCCUAGAGGACAUGAUCUUACAAAUCAAAAGUGUUGUGAAGCUUUAUAUUGUCUCUCUGUAGAACAUGUCACACCAAAUGACUAACUGAUCAUGCAUAAUAUUUUUUUUUAAUUACCAACAUUUAAGGGAAAUGACUUAAUUCGUCAACUUUUGAUUUUAGUGUAAAAUAGUAAUUAUCAUGACUUGAUUUUGAUUAUGCUCUGUAUUGGAACAAUUUUUUUGUUUGUAAAGUUUGAUUUUUUCAUUAUAAGAAAAUUUGGAAAUUUUGUCAAACAAAAUUCCUACAGAAUAAAAAAAAAAAAUACCUGGUAUGUGGAACACUCUUUUUCCCACCCAAUCCCAAAUUUAAGUUAAAAAAAACAACCCAAAAUGUUCCAAGAUUUAAAUAUUUUGAAUGUUGUAUAACAAAAAAUUCCUACAGAAAAACAGAAUUGUACACCCCCCCCCCCCCCCCCAUUCCCUUGCCCCAACCCCACCCCCACCCCAAAUGUUUUUGUACAAAUUGUUUUCCUACAACCUAUCAGUGAAAAACUGUUGGAAUCUCCAUACACAUUUUUGUUAUUUUGUUUUUAAAUACAAUCUAUGCUGUGAAUUCAUCGCCAAACAAUGUUACACAUUUACUUGCUUAACAAGAUGCAAUAAUGAAUAACUGUAGACUGUUUAUAAGGUGUGUACAUUUAAAUCAUUUUGAACCUCUGACAUUUUAAUUUGAUAGUUUUAUUUGUACAUUGUGAGACUCUUUUUAAAAUAUGUUUGUGUGUGUUUGUUUUAUCAAAUCCAACAUCAUUCUCAGGUUGUCCAUUCAUAAUUAUGCAUAUACAGCAUAUAUAUUUCAUGUGACUGUUGAUUGUGAUAUAUGAUUAUACAAACAUGGAUGUCCAACAUCAUUUCUUGAAAACCGCCAACUUGUCUCCUGAAUGAAACCAGUUUAAUCAUAUGCAGAAAUUAGGGUCCUAAAAAAAGUGUUGCUUUCUGUUUGUUUCUGUUAUUUUUUUUUUUGGGGGGGGGGGGGGGGGUAAGGGGGACUUUGCAGACUGAAAGAUAUAUUGGGGCUGAUGAUUUUUUAAAAAGCAGUUACAUUCAGGGCAUUUCAACCAUAGACAGUGGGACAGUUUUAUUUUUUCAUCAUGUGCUGUAAAUAAUUCGCUUGCUUCAUCGUGUUUUAUCAGGUCACAAACAUGGCAUUUCUGCAAAGACCAAGAAGUGUGUAUGUGUGAGUAAGGUGUGGGAGAAAGGAACGAGAUCAUGUACAUAGUAGAUUGUAUAUAUUACAUGUAGAUAGUGAUCCUAACAUAUAGGACAUGUCAUUUUAAAAUAAAAAGAAGGAAAAUAAAAC
rnacentral:sRNA from 1 species